AUUUAUAGGGAUGAAGAAAUUUGAACCAAGGAGAACAUCAUGUCCAAGGAAGCAAUCAGGAUCGAAAAAAAAUUGAUGUGUAAGUCAUGUGCAAAAAUCAGGUAAAAAGGUUGAGAAAUGCACUGAGAAUGUAAAUUGGGAUGCCAACGCAUCGCAGAACCGGCUAAAAUGACAAUUGUCAAAAUUCAGUGGUCUGGCGCGAUACCCACGCGUCGCAAAACCCUCCAAGAUAACAAUAGUCAAAAUCCAGUGGCCUGGCGCAAUACUAUCGUGUCGCGGUGGGCUGUUAAGUGGCAAUUGGUACUUUCCAGUAGACUGAUGUAAUCCUUCUGCAUCACUGUGGGGGUACAAAUCGGACAAAAUAUUUUAGGUGAACCUGAUCCGACUCGGUUUUGGCCCCUUCCCUUUAUAUAUAUUCCCCCUUAACCCUAAUCCCCUUAAUCUUUCUUUUUAGAGUGCCGCCUUAAGAUCCCCACCACCAAAAAAUUUUCUCGUUCACUCUCCUUAAACGAAGAAUCAAGGUCACUCUUGUUCCUUCCCCAUUCAUCACCAAAAAGGUACCAUGGAUCCCCAAUAUCAGAAAGGAAAGGCCAAGGUUGGUCCCUCUACACCAGCUAGGAAACGAAGUAGGCCAUCUAAAAAUCAACUUGCCAGGGUGCCCCGUGCUCUACCAUUACAGCGUGGGAAAAUGAGGAAGUUCGGGUUCAAGGCAGUCCGAAAAGUAGGAAAACAAUGGUACUCAAAAAACACUGAAGCCCAAUACAUUCCGUAGGUCUUCAUUGAUAGGACAAGCCUGCUAAGGGACUGCCCAAGCAGAGAUGAUGAAUUGAGUAGCUGAAUAUGAACUUCAUCUUUUAUCAGCCUACUGAGUGCAACUUGCACUUAGUACACGAUUUUUACGCUAACUGGGAUCCAAGUGACCCCGAUCAUGAAUUGAAGAUUCGAGGUAAAAAGGUCCAGUUCACAGCUACGGAUAUUAAUGAUUUGCUGGGUAUACCUGAGGCGAAUGCAAACUAGUUGAGGCAGUUCAUUGUCACUCCUUAUGCUUACAUCAGACAUUUGUUAAGCGGUACGCGCUCAUCUGCAAGGUGGACCAGGCAUUAAGUCACCGACUUUCACUCAUCUUUCCCCUAUGCACAGAUGAACAAAGAAGCCCAUAUGUAGGGACGCAUUGUAUAUCAUUGCCUUGUCCAAGGCAAACAUAUGACAGAGUUUACACGUUAUUGGGUAUGUUUAAUUUAUGCUCUAAUAUGUAACCAUGUUGAGAUUAAUGUGGGCCAGGUCAUUUUCUCUGCUAUGAAGAAAGCACACUAUCAGUCAGGCCGUUGCUAUAGUUUUGAAGGAUUGCUGACUCAGAUCUUGAGGAGGCAUACGGUGGAUAAAGAGGAGCUGGAUUACAAGCCGGAUAUUGUCACUCGCCUGGUUGAUAUCAAAACUGCUAGGAGCACCACUGGGGCCCAAGGCCCAGUCCUGACUAUGGCCGAGCGUCAAGUUUGGGCUGAUAAAAUAUCUGCCUGGAUGUUUGGCCUAUAGAUGUUGUAGCUGUAGAUAGGGGGAAGAUCUGCAACGAAUGAAGAAAUUCAUGCGGUGGAGUUAGAUUACCCCCUAGGCCAUCAUGCUUGAACUCUGCUGCGGAUCGAGCCUGAGUUUGUGGAACCUGUUGAUGAUGACGUGUCUACUGAUGCUAAGAGAAAGUACCAGGACUCGAAAGAUGAGUCAGACACUGAGGAUCAAUCUGAUGAGGGUGAGGGCGAUGCAUAAGUUGAUGAUGUUUAUGAUGAGGAUGGUGCAGAUAAGGUCAUGACGGUGAUUGUGCCCUUUGACUGAGCAGGGAGCAUGAUGCCACCUUGCCUUUUGCUUACUAAUAGCACUGGGAUAAUUCUAUGUUUAAAGUGUGGAGUGGUUAUCCUCUAUUUUCAUCUCUGCUUUCUAUCUUGGUUUAUUUUGGUUGGACAAUUUCUAUUUAUUUUGGUUAGACAAUUUCUAUUUCUUUUAUGUUUUGUUGGAUUGUAAUUGUUAGUAAGUUUAAGGAUGGAUUUGUGCAAUUUUCCCUAAAGGCAUUUUCUGCAUGUUGUUAUCAGUUUAAAGUAGUUGUUUUAUUUA